CCCAGCACGCAUUGCGCCACGCAAUCUUCAACUGUUGCCGUAAUUAGUACGUUUAUCUUAUUGUAACGUGAAUGGUGCGUUUAUGCUACCCACGGUUUGUCGAAGGUGCGACUUAUUGAGCUGUCGGGUUACAUUUAUGUCGAGCGUUGUUUUCAUGGAACCCGGACUGCGGGUGUUCGAGUGACGUCCCGGUCCCUUUCAGCCAUAUCCUGAAGGUCGAAUACUGUUUUCACAGCCGCAUUCUGCUAUUUCGCAGUAUAAUCCACCUUUCUUUCUUUCUUUCCGCCCGUAAGCUUGCUGUCUCGGCUCCAAAACAAGCGAGCCAGCGAAGGCGUCGACCGACCUCGUCCUCACAAAGUCGACUUUUUCUUGAAAAGUCGACUUGAAUGUGAAUUUGUAUUCAUGUCCCACGUCCGUCGUCCUUUGUUAGCUAUUGUGCAUAUCUACUUAGCGCAACCAAUCAGAGGUCAGAAAAAUGCCGACGUCACUGUGAGCCGGCGAGCAGGCCUCGCUUGAAUAUAAAAUGUUCUGUCUACGUCCACGACAGACCAAAGCCCCUGAAAGAAGAAACAAAGUUCAGAUCUUGAAUCUUAGAUUUGAUCUCUUGGCGAGUGGAACGAGUUUUCACCGACCGUGGCUCUUUUUCCAACCGAUCUGCAAAUGAAGCGAAGCAGCCGCCUGAAAACGUCCGGCCGACGGACCGCUCCUAUCUCGCUUUUCCCAUGCCUCUCGCUCUCUCUCGAUGUCGCUGGCGCAGUUUGUGCCGGGCCGUGACGUCACUAAGGUGACGCCGAGAGGAGGAGGACGGCCUUGCGACAGAGGUAGAAUUGAGAUAGAAGUACUACAGAGCGGAGACAGUUGAAUAGAACAGCCUUUAUCUGCACUUUUUGUGUCGCGCUAACCCAUUUUCGACUGAUAGCGCCGAUAUAUUUCAGCGGGGAAUAUCCAGGCUUGUUGUUGUUGUUGUGCGCCUGUGAAUCGGGAAAAAAAAAUCAGAAAAUGAACUUCACCCGGCGCGAGAGGGAAGGAAGUCAGAAAGGAGGCUUGGCAAAUGAGCGAGUUGUUCAUCGUUAAGACUUUAUAGUGACUCUACUGUACAGUGAAGAGGAGGAGGAGGAGGAGGAGGAGUGACAAUCUGGCUCCGUGGUGUACGUUUGCAUAAAAAUUCAGAGCAGCAACACAACAACUCACAGUUCAAAGGUUAGCAACAAAAGCGCACAACACAUGGAUUACAUCGCCACCAACCACGAGUGUGUGUGUGUGUGUGUGUGGCACUUCUCUGUUGUGUUAGUGGUGUGCACGCUCGUACAUCGUGUGUUUGGGCGGGUGUGUUUUUCACUAAUUGCACUUGAGGAUGAGGGAACGAGAAUCGCACGGCCACGAUUAGAUUUUCUCUGCUUCUUCUUUGUGCAUUAUUAAUGUGAUGGAAAUCUUUCAGACUUUUCACAACACAAACGUCAAAAGAAACAAAAAAAAUGUACAAAACUUGCGCUCAAGCCAACCAGCUCAGGAAGGACGACGACUCCCAUGAUGCCUUGAUGCAAGAGGGUUCUGUGUGGCCCCAAAACGUCUUGUUCCUCUUCUGGUUUUGCGAGCGACGGCGACUUUGGCUGUGACGAGCCGACGUACGCGCAUCGCGAUUUGAUCCUGACGUGUGAACACUCAGCAAGUUCUCGAGGCUCCUUCGUUUUGCCGUCACUCCCGACAGCCGAGCGGACAUCCGGGCGGACUCCGUAUGGCGGAUCCAUUGCGACGAAUGUCUGCAGGUGGAUGUCUCUGGAUUUCUCUUGAAGGAUUCCUUCAUGUGGAUGUCUGCGGUUGGAUGACCCGGGCGCAGCUCAGCAGGUGGAUGACUCCAAAUUCAUUUGUCCGCGUCGAAGUCGCCGAACGAUGAAGACAGGCCGAUUUCUCCAGGUGGAUUUCUUUGAAGGACUUGCGCAGGUGGAUUCUUCGUCUGCGGGUAGAUGACUCCGGAUCGGUUUCUCCGGGUGGACGACGCGGAGUCGAUUUUUCCUGGUGCAUUUCUGUUGGAGGAUUCCAACAGGUGAAUUCUUCAGGAUGGAUGACUCCGAGUGGACUUCUCCAAGUGAAAUUGUUUCGAUGCAAGUGUCCGAGCGGAGAGGUGGAUGUCUUCAAGGGGAUUUCACCCGGUGGAAAUGUGGAUGUCAGCCUGACAGCUCAGCAGAUGUUCACGUGGAACUGUCCGGGUGGAUUCCUGCGGGUGGCUUUACAAAUGUCAGUCUGAAGGCCUCCAGUGGGUAAGAACACAGUGAGGAAGGACAACUAAGAACACUAGAAAAUAAACACCUGAUUGACAGUGUGGCAGAGGAGGAACAACAACAACAACAACAACAACAAAAACUGUGGUGAGGGAGGUGGGUUUUUUUGUUUUUUUCUUAGAAGAACUUGUCGUCGAUGCGGAAGUGCGGCCGCGUGACAUCGUCCGGGUUGAUGAAGACCGAAAUGGACUUCCCGGGGUUCUCCGUGACCAGCUGCUGGAGCUUCUUGGCCAGGCGGUCGUCCGGCUGGUUCUCCCCGCCGGCGUCCGACUGCGGCGACGGCAGGUUGCCGGUGCUGCCGCGCCACUGCAGCUCCACCGUCAGCCUGUUGGCGGCCUUGGCGUGCUCGAUGGUGGUGCGCAGGUGCUCGGCCGGGUCGGAGCGCACCGACGAGAGCUUGCGGGCGUGCAGCACGGCGGCGGCGUCCGACAGGUGCUCCAGCAUGUUGCACUGCGGGAUGAAAUAGUUGGGGCAGGUCUUGUUGACCAGGCAGUGCUGCAGGUCGUCUAUCAGGCCCAGCAGGAAGUGGGCGGAGAAGUCGUCGUGCGCCAGGUAGUUGGCGGGCAGCCGGUCGCAGGCCCACAGCAUGACGCUGCGCAGGUGGUAGGGGCUCACCGCCUUGGGCCGCGACAGCAGCUUGACGAUGAUGGCCUUGCACGCCUGGUAGGCCUGCAUGAGGCCGGGCGAGAUGCACUUCUUCAGCUGCACCUCGCUGCGGGCGAACGACAGCCGCCACUCGUUCUCUCUCCGGCCCUUGUGCGAGCAGGCGGGCACCAGGUAGAAGCCGCUGAUCACUUCCUCCUCCGUGAUCUUGCCGUCCCAGAAGUGGUUCUCCAUCAGCCAGCUCUGCGCCACGGCCGGCCAGCCCUUGAAGGACACUACGGGCACGACGUCGUAGAGCAUUCGGCUGCUGCCCACGCCCAAGAUGACCGACACCACGGUGCCGUUGCGCUCCACCUUCUCCACGCGGGGAACGCCCCUCUGCGGCUUCUUUUGGACCUGCGUGGGCGGAAGUACUUCGUGACAAUUGGCGCUGCAAAUCGGAAGUGCACCUCAAAGACCUCCAGUAGCACCAGUGAGACGGCCUGGUAGAACCAGUCUGCCACCAGCGUGGGCGAGAAGAAGUAGUUUGCGGCUCCGCUGAUGUGCUCCACCACCGUGCAGCAGUCCUUCCACUUGCUGAUGGUGCCCUCGUCGAAGAGGCGCAGACUGAGCCAGGAAUGUCCCAGCGCCGAGUGCCUCAUGUCCAGCGUGACCGGCUGGUUGCGGUCGUGCAGCUUGAGCGCCGGGACCAGCAGCGUGAAGUCCAUGUCGUAGUCGGCGCCGCGCGCGUACACGCUCAGCUCGUCCGUAUCCAUGUCCACCACGCCCUCGCGCACGCCGCCCGACAGCAACAGGUACUCGUUGGCCACCGGCAGCUUCUGGUCCAGCUUCUGGACCAUUCCUGGAGGACCCGGCGGCACAAACGCAACAAACGUUUCGAUAAAAGAAAAUAAGUGAUCCCCCGCUAUUCGCGGGGCGUAGGGACCGACCACUGGCGCAAAUGGCGAAAGCCGCGACUAACUGAUGCCCGCCUUCCUUCAAGGGUUUCGUAAUUGCGUAUAGAUCCCACAAGAUGGAAGUAAAGCGCUUCAAACAAAGAGAUGAUGCAAAAUAAAAAGCAUGCACGUAACAUGUACACAAGCAUGAAGACGUGUUACAUAAGUGUGUGAAAUGGGUCCAUUUCUCUACACAAACAAUCGGAUGGGACCGCAAAACA